rnacentral:rRNA from 1 species
AGAGUUUGAUCUUGGCUCAGGAUGAACGCUAGCGACAGGCUUAACACAUGCAAGUCGAGGGGCAGCACAGGUAGCAAUACCGGGUGGCGACCGGCGCACGGGUGAGUAACGCGUAUGCAACUUACCUAUCAGAGGGGGAUAACCCGGCGAAAGUCGGACUAAUACCGCAUGAAGCAGGGGCCCCGCAUGGGGAUAUUUGCUAAAGAUUCAUCGCUGAUAGAUAGGCAUGCGUUCCAUUAGGCAGUUGGCGGGGUAACGGCCCACCAAACCGACGAUGGAUAGGGGUUCUGAGAGGAAGGUCCCCCACAUUGGUACUGAGACACGGACCAAACUCCUACGGGAGGCAGCAGUGAGGAAUAUUGGUCAAUGGCCGAGAGGCUGAACCAGCCAAGUCGCGUGAGGGAUGAAGGUUCUAUGGAUCGUAAACCUCUUUUAUAAGGGAAUAAAGUGCGGGACGUGUCCCGUUUUGUAUGUACCUUAUGAAUAAGGAUCGGCUAACUCCGUGCCAGCAGCCGCGGUAAUACGGAGGAUCCGAGCGUUAUCCGGAUUUAUUGGGUUUAAAGGGUGCGUAGGCGGCCUUUUAAGUCAGCGGUGAAAGUCUGUGGCUCAACCAUAGAAUUGCCGUUGAAACUGGGGGGCUUGAGUAUGUUUGAGGCAGGCGGAAUGCGUGGUGUAGCGGUGAAAUGCAUAGAUAUCACGCAGAACCCCGAUUGCGAAGGCAGCCUGCCAAGCCAUGACUGACGCUGAUGCACGAAAGCGUGGGGAUCAAACAGGAUUAGAUACCCUGGUAGUCCACGCAGUAAACGAUGAUCACUAGCUGUUUGCGAUACACUGUAAGCGGCACAGCGAAAGCGUUAAGUGAUCCACCUGGGGAGUACGCCGGCAACGGUGAAACUCAAAGGAAUUGACGGGGGCCCGCACAAGCGGAGGAACAUGUGGUUUAAUUCGAUGAUACGCGAGGAACCUUACCCGGGUUUGAACGCAUUCGGACCGAGGUGGAAACACCUUUUCUAGCAAUAGCCGUUUGCGAGGUGCUGCAUGGUUGUCGUCAGCUCGUGCCGUGAGGUGUCGGCUUAAGUGCCAUAACGAGCGCAACCCUCGCCACUAGUUACUAACAGGUAAAGAUGAGGACUCUGGUGGGACUGCCAGCGUAAGCUGCGAGGAAGGCGGGGAGGACGUCAAAUCAGCACGGCCCUUACAUCCGGGGCGACACACGUGUUACAAUGGCGUGGACAAAGGGAGGCCACCUGGUGACAGGGAGCGAAUCCCCAAACCACGUCUCAGUUCGGAUCGGAGUCUGCAACCCGACUCCGUGAAGCUGGAUUCGCUAGUAAUCGCGCAUCAGCCAUGGCGCGGUGAAUUAAAAGCCGGGCCUUGUACU